AGGAAUGUGGUUCGCUGGAUAAAUUGUUCAAUAAAAACGUUUUACUAUUUUUUUAUAAGAAAACUUUGUCCUUGAUGUUUGAAAAAACGCGGGAACAUAUCCUAGAGAAUUAAGAAAUACCAACCCGACACUAGGGAACUUCUAGGGUUUUCUUCUGCCCAAAGUGUUCCCCCACUGUAAUUUUUUUGGCGGUUGGUCGAAGUAGUAUUUUACAAUAAAAACAUUUCCAUCAAACAUAUCAACAAAUUCCGAUCAAUGUUUAAAUAACUCACCCCCCACAGUGUCACAAUGGCGUACAUAAAUUGCAAUGUGAGUGGUGAAAUAGAGCCAAGAGUCCCUAGACAUCCAACAGCAGCACCGACUGAGACUACUCCAACAGUGCCAGAGGUGUCCCUGGCAUUCGACACUCCCCAACAAAGAGGGACAUUCUCGAAUAAACCUAGAUCCUCACCCCUGCCAACCUCAUAUGCCCAGUGGAAGCAGCAAGUGCCCCCUCAGCCCUCCAGCAGUCCUAAAAUCGACGAUGGAAAAGUCCAGAGGAUAUUCCGAAGUAGUUCAUCACCAGGAGCUCCAAGCAGCUCAUCAUUAGGAGCUCUAAGAGGGGCAAAUACAGCCCUUGCGAUAGCCGAAAGGCCCCAGAGGCUUCCCCCAGGCCCCUUCCAGAGGGACUCUCGCCUGAAGUUUUACCAAAAAGUCGGGCCAGAAUGUUCCCCAUCCGAGAACAAGAUCCUCCCCACCAGUAACCCCAUGAUCUCCCCUUCAAGAAGACCUGCAAGCUCUCUCUCACUGGCGCCCCGACCACAGGGGCCCUCAGACUUGAUCGCAAAAGAAAAAAUCCAGUCAUCGCCUCCUCAGGAAAAACUGGACCGAGUAAAAAGCCCCUGUGACUGCCACUCCCAUCAGUCAGACAACAACGAGAUAAUAAACAAGUUGCUGUCUUUGGUCCAGAGUCAAAAUGCCCAGAUACAGAUGCUCCAGGGACAAGUGGAGACCCUCCUCUCAAUGAGGACCGAAAGACCCAGAGACUUUGAUUACCAGAGACUUCCCUUUCCUCCCCACGUCUCCCCGACUAUCAGUGAUCCAGCUGUUCAGAAUCCACGCCUCCAGUACCCCAAAUCCCCCCGAGAUCUUCAGGACUUCGAGGAGAAACAGAGGGAGGACAAGUGCAAGCAGCUGAUAAAGGAAAAAAAAGUAUCCAUCGGAGUCAUGACGAGCUUUGAAUUAACAGUUCAGGACGCAGUAGUUUACAACGUCGAUGCUGUCCCGACGGCUCCAGAUUAUCAGGAACCGCCCCCUCUGGGGAAGACCCUCGGGAGUAGAACACCUGGAGCGACGGCAGUGGCUAAAGGCCCUCUUGAGCAGAUCAUCGAGGAUUCAGAGAGUCAUAUGUCAUCGACAGUUCAAGCCAGCAAUAAUUUUCACACAUACUCAUCAGCCAGGAAGUCACUCCAAGGGAAUCUCCAGGGAGAGUCUUGUGUGGAGCCACCGCAAAUCCACCAGCGAACUCCAGCUGUCAUUCAGAGCCAGCCAAGUCGCCUGACGACUGAACCCCCACGUUAUCAGCAGCCAGAAGGUGUCCAGAGGGAUCACCAAAAAUUGUCCAGUGGAGGGAGCCAUAUCCCUAGUCAGAAAAAUUCUCCAGCUCCUCCAGCAGUUCUUGCAGCCAAUAUCAGGGAUGAUCCACCCCCUGAGGUCGUCACGAAGACCCCCAAGGUCGGCUGGACUCUCUACGAUAAUGUCAUGUGUCAAGUUAAUGAAAUACUCCACAACACGCAGGACGGGCCGGGGGACGAGGGCCAGGAGAUUGUCCAGGAGACGAGUGGGUCUAAACUCCGACUGAAUGGAAUCCAACAGUCGACUAUGGAGCAGUUGAAAUUAUUUGGUUUCACUUUUGCUGACACGUCUGGAUGCUCCGAGGGCAGGUCCAUGGUCGAUGGUAGGAGGAUGAACCCUAUUUCCAUUGAUGCUUCCUACUAUCCACGAUUGGAUUAUCAAGCCAAUGUCAUUCAGACCUCUGGGUCAGUUAGCGACAGCAAUACCAGCUUGCAUAUGAAGGCACUGGCGAUGAAGUACUUGGGGACCAAACAACUGCCCAAUGUUUCCAGCCAUCAGAGGGGAAUGGAGCUGUUCACCAGCAUGGUACUCAGUAAUCUUCAGAAUAAUUUGCCUGGGGGACAUGGGAAUGAUGCCCCUCAGUUUGAUAACAAUCCCCGAUUCCAAGGAUCACCGAAGGCUUUACCAGACUUUCAAGGUGAAAAUUAUUUAAUGCCCAGGAAACAAAGUCCACACAAUCGACACAAAAUAUUGGAUAUGUCAAGCUUGAAACGUCAGCCCAAAUUGCUGUAGUUCAUUCGUUUCGAUUAUUGUUUAUAUUCUGAAGGUUAAAGUUUGUGAAGGACAAGAUCGAUCGGCAUUAUUUAAUUAAUUAUAUCUGAACGCAUCAAUUAAAAACAUUGGACGUUGUGCGUCUGCAGUGUUACCUCAUAUUACGCUUCAAUUACAUUGUCAAAAAGCAAGAGCAGCAGAAAAUAUGUUUUGGCUCAGGAAGAUCUCGGAACAUCGGUCUCAGGACCGGAACCAGCCCAUUCAUGCGAUUUUAUAUGUCCGAGGACUUUCCGAACACUGGGCCGGG